rnacentral:lncRNA from 1 species
AUGCAGUCGAAAAUGGAAUGGAGAAAGAUAUAUAUAAAGUUGGAAUUUAGGGAUAAAAUCGAAAGUGUACAGUUAGGUCUCAAACGAAUUGUCUCUGAUCUUCCCCUGGGUCUAGCAGUGGUUGAUGAAAACCGUGAUUUGCUCUUCCUUAGUUCGAUGCCGAUUCGUAACCUGGAAAAGGGGGCGGAGGCUGGCUUGCAUCAAUACCCGCCAUGCCCCGAACUGGUCUUGACUUUACCCUUCCUCAGUGCCAGGCGGAUUGGAAUGCGAAUGACUGAACGAAUUCAUUAG